rnacentral:rRNA from 1 species
GGCCCAGACUCCUACGGGAGGCAGCAGUGAGGAAUAUUGGUCAAUGGACGAGAGUCUGAACCAGCCAAGUAGCGUGAAGGAUGACUGCCCUAUGGGUUGUAAACUUCUUUUAUAUGGGAAUAAAAUGUUCCACGUGUGGGAUUUUGUAUGUACCAUAUGAAUAAGGAUCGGCUAACUCCGUGCCAGCAGCCGCGGUAAUACGGAGGAUCCGAGCGUUAUCCGGAUUUAUUGGGUUUAAAGGGUGCGCAGGCGGUCUGUUAAGUCAGCGGUAAAAUCGUGGGGCUCAACCCCAUCCAGCCGUUGAAACUGGGGAUCUAGAGUGUGCGAGAGGUAUGCGGAAUGCGUGGUGUAGCGGUGAAAUGCAUAGAUAUCACGCAGAACCCCGAUUGCGAAGGCAGCAUACCGGUGCACAACUGACGCUCAGGCACGAAAGCGUGGGUAUCGAACAGGAUUAGAUACCCUCGUAAUA